rnacentral:lncRNA from 1 species
UGGGCACCCCCAGUCUUUCCAUCCUCCUCAUUCGACUAGGGGCACCCAAAUCCCCUAUUCCUUAUUUCCCCUAUCACUCAGGCACUGGCAGGGUCCUUUGCCCACUCCUGUUGGCCGCUGCGGCUCCAAAGCGAGAUGUGCCUGAGACAGGUUUGACAAGGCAACUGAAAAGAUAUCCCUAAGAGAAGACAAAGCAAAGGUAGAAAGGAACACACGUCCCUGACUGACUUAGGAGGAACAGAGCUGCCUGCUCUCUGGAACCGCUUCCUCCCAGACUAAGUGAGAAAUAAACUUCUGUUUUCUAUAUGC